rnacentral:rRNA from 1 species
ACCUAGUAGUGGGGGAUAGCACGGGGAAACUCGUAUUAAUACCGCAUACGACCUACGGGAGAAAGGGGGCAGUUUACUGCUCUCGCUAUUAGAUGAGCCUAAGUCGGAUUAGCUAGAUGGUGGGGUAAAGGCCUACCAUGGCGACGAUCUGUAGCUGGUCUGAGAGGAUGAUCAGCCACACCGGGACUGAGACACGGCCCGGACUCCUACGGGAGGCAGCAGUGGGGAAUAUUGGACAAUGGGGGAAACCCUGAUCCAGCCAUGCCGCGUGUGUGAAGAAGGCCUUUUGGUUGUAAAGCACUUUAAGCAGUGAAGAAGACUCCGUGGUUAAUACCCACGGACGAUGACAUUAGCUGCAGAAUAAGCACCGGCUAACUCUGUGCCAGCAGCCGCGGUAAUACAGAGGGUGCAAGCGUUAAUCGGAAUUACUGGGCGUAAAGGGAGCGUAGGUGGCUCGAUAAGUCAGAUGUGAAAUCCCCGGGCUCAACCUGGGAACUGCAUCUGAUACUGUUGAGCUAGAGUAUGUGAGAGGAAGGUAGAAUUCCAGGUGUAGCGGUGAAAUGCGUAGAGAUCUGGAGGAAUACCGAUGGCGAAGGCAGCCUUCUGGCAUAAUACUGACACUGAGGCUCGAAAGCGUGGGUAGCAAACAGGAUUAGAUACCCUGGUAGUCCACGCCGUAAACGAUGUCUACUAGUCGUUGGGUCCCUUGAGGACUUAGUGACGCAGCUAACGCAAUAAGUAGACCGCCUGGGGAGUACGGCCGCAAGGUUAAAACUCAAAUGAAUUGACGGGGGCCCGCACAAGCGGUGGAGCAUGUGGUUUAAUUCGAUGCAACGCGAAGAACCUUACCUGGUCUUGACAUAUCUAGAAUCCUGCAGAGA